ACCAUACCGGCUACUAGGAGAACAAAAAUUAACUCUAUCCUAGCCAAAACCAGGACAGUAAUCCAAUUCAUUUUCUUUGGUGCUAUGGAAAUUCUGCUUUUCUGCUCCAAAUAGUUAUGAUAUUUGUAAAAAGCCCCCUAGUUGACUUGAUCAAUCCAGUGUUAUUCACUUCCUGUUCCUGUCUCCCACUUUAACCUUGCUAGUUAAGUUUACUCAAAGAUUUGUCUGACUUCAGGUUUUCCUUUUUCACAGACUGCUGCUUUAUCCUCCCGAUAAGCUCAUACAGGAUACCUCAAAUGUUGGUUGAAAAAAUAAUUCUAGAGAAACAGAAAAAAAAAAAAAAAAAAAAAAAAAAGUAGCAAGGAGAAAAUAUAGUCAAUUUAACUGAAUAAUGAGUUUUAUUCAUGAAAAUGAGCCUCUUAAAGGGUUUCAAAUAAAAUAUUUCAAGAGAUUUCAGAUAUAGAGAGAUGUGUCUGCAUAUUAAAGCAUACAUUUUCUGUUGAAGUAAUCAGUUGAUAGAAGUUAAAGUUCUUCCACAAUAAAGUUGCCUGAACUGGGUCAGAAGGAUGGCAUCACAAAAAAGAUCUAAUAUUAGGUCACAUAUCACCGUAGAUGGGUGUCAGGCUUUUGUUUCAUUCCUUCCAUCUGGAUGGAUGAAUGACACUGCCAAUUUAUGCUGCCGUUAUCUAUUGUCAAUAUAUAUUUUUUGUGCACUCGGAGGCUUGAAAAAGUAUUUUCUAGAAAGGAGCUUUUAGUUCUUUCUUUUUAGACUGAUAUUUUCAAGCUGGACGGAUUGAAGAAUCUUUGUCUUCAUAAUAUAAUCUGAAAAGUUGAAAGAAGUGUCACAAAAUUCUUUAGAUUCACAAACAAUACUAAAAAUAGAAAAUAUAUAACAAGAAAAAAAACAACACUCUUGUAAUACAGCAAAAAAAAAGGAAAAAAAAAAACAAACAAUAAUAAUAAUAAAAAAAGAUUACAACAACAAGAAGGUGUUUCCAGGUUUAUAUGCAAUAUGAAAUGGUAUAACUAGAGAAAAACAUCUCUUUCACUCAGUUACUGAAUUCAAGCACUCCAUGUGAUACUCUGAGAUUAAAUCUCCUCAGCUGUAUACGUGAUUCUUCCUGCAAGAAGAAUAUAACUUAUUAUAACUUAUAUAUAGGGUAACUUAUUCCCUAAGGGUCUCACUGUCUCCUGCUUUACUCUGUCCUAUAAACUUUGUCCUUUGUAAACUAUGUUUUCUUUCUGUUAUUUAAACAAUGUACUGUCUGUUCAAGUGUGCCUUCUCUUUGUGACCUUCAUGUAGCAGCUACUGUCCCACAUAUCAAUGAGUUCAGAGCAGUAGAUGAGAAGGAUAAAAUAGAUGUAAUAAAACAAAGUAGAUGAGUAUAUGAUAAAGAUGAAGUAAUACUAAAAACUGCAAGAUUUUGAAACCUAGAAAAUUUCUUGUAAGUGGAUAAAAUGUCCAUUACUAUAGUAUAUGGGAAUUAGUGAACAUCAGAAAACUAGUCACAAAAGACAGCAUGCUGAGAGGGAAUGCUUUUUGUAGAAGAAAAGAGCCUGCAAUGGAAGCUGGUGUUUGAAGACAGGCCCACCAAGCUUAUUCUUCAGUAGGAAACAUACAGCAUAAGCUUUCAUCAGUUAUCUCACUUUUAAAUGAGGACUGAAGAAGUUCUGUGUUUUAAAUUUGCUGGUAACUACUAGUAGAGUGAAAAAUAUUUCAGAAGUUUUUUGUUUCCUUAUUUUCCUCAAGGAAAAUACAUCACUUAGGAUCUGUAACUAAGUUAAAAAAUCAGAAACAACAUGAAUAUUUGUCUAGGUGGUUUCCUUUAUCUUAUUUAUUUAUUUUGGUGUGAACUGUACUAAAUAUGUAGCAUUAGCAUAGUGCUAAUGUGCAAUUUUUCUACCUGUCACAUUCAGUUUAAAAAAUAGUAUUUUACUGAGAGAAGAACUUUUUAAGGAAACAACUCUUUACAUUGUCCUGAAUGUAAUUUUUGACUAUAACAAAAUUUCUCCUCUACUCACUCCUAUUUCUAAACCAGCCAAUAAGAUAAGAGACAAGCCAAACUGUCAGGAAAUAUCAGUCUUGUAUUCCUCUUCUUGUUCUUGUUCUUCAUGUUCUUAUAUAUAAAUAAAAAUAGGAAUGGAUUUGUUAUAUGACAUCUGAAUAACCUGACAACUGGUACCAAUGUUUUCAGUUUGAAAUUGUCUGUUUCAUCACAAUAUGGGAUGGGAAUAAUAACAUUAAUAAAAUAAAAUAAAAUAAAA